GAGGGAAGAAGGAAGGAGAGGAGGGAAAGAUAAGAAAGAGAUGGAGAUAAAAAAAGGGAAAGAGAGAGAAAGAGUGAGAGAGAACCAGGAGGGGACUUGCAGAGAAGAAGACAAAGAAGAAAACAAAACAAAACAACAUAAACAGAAAGACAAGUAAACAACACAAAAAGCUUUAGUAUGUGUGUGUGUGUGUUUGUUAGUGUUAGUGGCUACAUCAUACUGUCUGCUCUUUAUACAUGGUUCGGUUUAUUUGUGAAGGGUAUCUGGGAAUUUAUACACACUACUUAAAUUAGUAUACUCGUGUCCAGUCUUUGGUAAUAGGAGCGCUGGACACACACUCGCUAAUGGGAAUCUGUAGCGUUCGGCUCUGGCACACGCUGACCUCUGCUCUAGCUUGACAGGGGCAAGAUGAACACACAAAACAAGGGUCACUCUAGUACUACAGGUAACUCGAUUUACGCAAGUUUGGUUAAGUGUUUUUGAAAUAACGCGGGGUCCAAAAUCCAAAUAGAUGUUUAAUUUACAAGUUUUUUUCACUUAUACACGAUAUUUUAUGGAGUGGCCACCAGAUGUCUCACGCAACUGGACUCACACGACGCCGCGGCCACACAGCUGAGCUCAGUUCUUCCCGCGCGCCACUUGAACAACAAUACAGUACCCACGCUGCCACGCUACUCAACAACAACAACACCCUCGCUGCUGUGCUACCACGAGGGGAAGGGCAGCCAGAGGAGGAACCACAAGAGGGAGACGAGUCAGAGUGAUACAGUAGGCAAUAAAGGUACAAACCUACCUCUUGUUUGAUUUACAUUGCUUUUGAUUUACACGACCUCUUCAAGGACACAAUACUCGCGUAAAUCGAGAGUUACCUGUACUCUGGCAAGAAGGGAGCGGAGGUGUUUUCAGGAGAUAGUUGCACGGAUUUCUACAUGUGUUAUUAGGCUUGGUGGGGUCUGUUUAAAGGGAAGGCGAGAGAAUUUGCCACACUAUUUACAUGUCAACUUGAAUCUCGUCAUUUUUUUUUUGCCAGUGAUGUGUCGGGGUUGAGCGAGGAUGUCCACUUGUCAUACGAUUGUUAGGUUCAGGUGUGAGAAUGUUCUUAAGAGUCAAAGCUCGUCACAAAAUCAAUUAAAUGUAUAGCAACUCUGGGUUAAUGUGACUUUAAUAGGUUUUCCAUAAAUGAUCAAAAGCGUAUCAGGCAAACCUUCUUAAAAUCAUCUAAGUCUAUUUAAGAUUCUGAAAGAUGAAUUUGUCUUGACUUAGAAGAGUAGCCAGUAAAUAUGACCCCCAAAAUAAUGCAUAGGAGCGAGUAGCGGGCUUUUUUUUUACUAUUGUUUCCUUAUUUUUGUGCCCUUGAGCUGUCUCCUUUGUUGUAAAAUAAAUAAAUAAAUCAUUCUCAGCUUCAUUGUUCAUAUCUUUCUCUACAUUACGAUCAGUCUACUAUAUAUUACUACCUAUUACUUUCAAUUCCUAUCACUCACUAACUAAAUAAAAUAAUGGCAAUUCUAAGGACUGAUCCGUAACUACUAACCUAACUCUCUUCUCCAUGACCCUGGAGAUACACACACUACCACAAGAUAGCUAACCCACAGAUAAAACACUAACCCAUACAUAUAGUUGUUCACAUUAUCUUGGCACAUAAGCCCCUCCCUCUGUCUCAUUAAGCACUGUGAGGUUAAAUCAUAUUGGUGGAUGCUGGGAAAGGUUGAAUCAUAUUGGUGGAUGCUGGGAUAGGUUGACUCUUAUUGGUGGAUGCUGGGAAAGGUUGAAUCAUAUUGGUGGAUGCUGGGAAAGGUUGAAUCAUAUUGGUGGAUGCUGGGAAAGGUUGAAUCUUAUUGGUGGAUGCUGGGAAAGGUUGAAUCUUAUUGGUGGAUGCUGGGAAAGGUUGACUCUUAUUGGUGGAUGCUGGGAAAGGUUGAAUCUUAUUGGUGGAUGCUGGGAAAGGUUGAAUCUUAUUGGUGGAUGCUGGGAAAGGUUGAAUCUUAUUGGUGGAUGCUGGGAUAGGUUGAAUCUUAUUGGUGGAUGCUGGGAAAGGUUAAAUCUUAUUGGUGGAUGCUGGGAAAGGUUGAAUCAUAUUGGUGGAUGCUGGGAUAGGUUGAAUCAUAUUGGUGGAUGCUGGGAUAGGUUGAAUCUUAUUGGUGGAUGCUGGGAUAGGUUGAAUCUUAUUGGUGGAUGCUGGGAAAGGUUGAAUCAUAUUGGUGGAUGCUGGGAUAGGUUGAAUCAUAUUGGUGGAUGCUGGGAUAGGUUGAAUCAUAUUGGUGGAUGCUGGGAAAGGUUGAAUCAUAUUGGUGGAUGCUGGGAAAGGUUAAAUCUUAUUGGUGGAUGCUGGGAAAGGUUGAAUCAUAUUGGUGGAUGCUGGGAAAGGUUGAAUCAUAUUGGUGGAUGCUGGGAAAGGUUGAAUCAUAUUGGUGGAUGCUGGGAAAGGUUGAAUCAUAUUGGUGGAUGCUGGGAAAGGUUGACUCUUAUUGGUGGAUGCUGGGAAAGGUUGAAUCAUAUUGGUGGAUGCUGGGAAAGGUUGAAUCAUAUUGGUGGAUGCUGGGAUGGGUUGAAUCAUAUUGGUGGAUGCUGGGAAAGGUUGAAUCAUAUUGGUGGAUGCUGGGAAAGGUUGAAUCAUAUUGGUGGAUGCUGGGAAAGGUUGAAUCAUAUUGGUGGAUGCUGGGAUAGGUUGAAUCUUAUUGGUGGAUGCUGGGAAAGGUUGAAUCAUAUUGGUGGAUGCUGGGAAAGGUUAAAUCUUAUUGGUGGAUGCUGGGAAAGGUUGAAUCAUAUUGGUGGAUGCUGGGAAAGGUUGAAUCAUAUUGGUGGAUGCUGGGAAAGGUUGACUCUUAUUGGUGGAUGCUGGGAUGCGGUGGGCUGCAUUUCCUUCUCAAUUUUAGGCAAAGAAUGUGUAAUAAAAUGAUCAAUAAUAAUGUGAAGCUAAGAAAUUUGAUACUAAUAAUAGUUUGAAUAUUGUGAUGAACUCUUUUACUGGUCUUUCAUGGGCGGGGCUAAUAUGCCGAGAUAGUGUGAACAGUCUUAGCAGCCCAAAACCCCCACAUUAAAACACUCCCUUCAACUACCAGUCCCUUACCCUUACAAACAAAAAACACGAAUACCACGAAUGUACAGACGAACUAACCUGUCUUCUGGGUGGGGCUAAUAUGCCGAGAUAGUGUGAACAGUCUUACAUGCCCAAAACCCGACAUUAAAACACCCCCUUCA